rnacentral:rRNA from 1 species
GUGCCAGCGCCGCGGUAAUACCGGCAGCCCGAGUGAUGGCCACUCUUAUUGGGCCUAAAGCGUCCGUAGCCGGCCUCGCAAGUCCGUCGGGAAAUCCACCCGCCCAACGGGUGGGCGUCCGGUGGAAACUGGCCGGCUUGGAACCGGAAGGCUCAGAGAGUACGUCCGGGGUAGGAGUGAAAUCCCGUAAUCCCGGACGGACUACCGAUGGCGAAAGCACUCUGAGAAGACGACUUCGACAGUGAGGGACGAAAGCUCGGGUCUCAAACCGGAUUAGAUACCCUUGUAGUCC